UUGUCUUUUAAAUAAAGACCAGUAUGAAUGGCAAGACGAAAGUUCAACUGUCUCCCUAAAUUAAUCAAUGAAAUUGAUCUUCCCGUGCAGAAGCGGGAAUAUAAAUAUAAGACGAGAAGACCCUAUGGAGCUUUAAAUAUAUGGUCAAUUGUAUAUUACAUAAACCAAAAGGUAAAAUAUUAAAUAAAACAUAGUGAUCAAAAUUUUAGGUUGGGGCGACCACGGAGAAAAACAAAACCUCCGAGAUGAAAAAAAUCUUAACUUAUGAACUACAGUUCUAAAAAAUAAAAUAUUUAACAUAAUUGAUCCAAUAUAUUGAUCAACGAACCAAGUUACCCUAGGGAUAACAGCGCAAUCCUUUCCAAGAGUUCCUAUCGACGAAUGGGUUUACGACCUCGAUGUUGGAUCAGGACACCCCGAUGGUGUAGCCGCUAUUAAAGGUUCGUUUGUUCAACGAUUAAAGUCCUA
rnacentral:rRNA from 1 species